UGGGGAAUAUUGCACAAUGGGCGCAAGCCUGAUGCAGCCAUGCCGCGUGUAUGAAGAAGGCCUUCGGGUUGUAAAGUACUUUCAGCGGGGAGGAAGGUGUUGAGGCUAAUAACCUCAGCAAUUGACGUUACCCGCAGAAGAAGCACCGGCUAACUCCGUGCCAGCAGCCGCGGUAAUACGGCGGGUGCAAGCGUUAAUCGGAAUUACUGGGCGUAAAGCGCACGCAGGCGGUCUGUCAAGUCGGAUGUGAAAUCCCCGGGCUCAACCUGGGAACUGCAUUCGAAACUGGCAGGCUAGAGUCUUGUAGAGGGGGGUAGAAUUCCAGGUGUAGCGGUGAAAUGCGUAGAGAUCUGGAGGAAUACCGGUGGCGAAGGCGGCCCCCUGGACAAAGACUGACGCUCAGGUGCGAAAGCGUGGGGAGCAAACA
rnacentral:rRNA from 1 species